rnacentral:rRNA from 1 species
AUGGAUGCCACAGCCCUUAAUUAUGAAAACCAGAAGUUGGUGCAGCAAUUGGAAGCACAGAAGUCUGAAAUGCAUUUGUUGGAAGCUAAGUUCAAGGAGUUGAGGAAUGAACAAUCUUCUUAUGACAAUACUCUGAUUUCCCUGGAUAAGAUGUGGAAUCAGCUUGUUGAUGAUUUAAUCCUGCUUGGAGUUCGAUUUGGUGGUGGUUUGAACAAUUUGCCUGCACUUGACCAUGAAGAGUUGUCAGAAGAAUCCAUCGAGUUGUGUCCUUCUGAUGAAAUUUUUCUCUUCAUGCUCUUGAAGUCCAACAAUUAUGGAAAAAAGGGUGACAAUAGCUUGUUGGAAUUUGCUGAAGAAGCUCUUGCUUUGCGCCGUUCGGCAACUCUUGCUCUGAUGAGGUCCCUUCAAGAGGCUAUUGCUGCACAACAGGCUAGAAGUGAAUAUUUGUCAUUAGCUUUAAAUGGAGAGAAGUCAAAUGAAGAUGUUGUUGUUGCCCUUCAAAACCAUAAUGAUCACUUGAAAGAGGUGGUUGGCAAUGUCCUUGAAGCUAUUUCUAUCGUCGAUGAGAAGCAUAAAAGGUAUCUGGAUGAGAUUGAGGCUUUCAAAAGCAGCUACUCAAAAGAAUUGCAGGAAAUCAAGCAUCUUUCAGGAGAGCUAGAGGAAACCAUGGCGGAGCUUGAGGAAAGCCGACGGAAGUUGGUUAUUCUCCAGUUGCAAAGGCAUGGAAGUUCGCUAAUGAACAUGUCUGGUCCAAACGCCGUGAAUGGUGCUGUUUCGGCUGAUAAAUCUUCAGAUGAAAACAUGGGCUGGGGAGAUCUUAAAGAUGCUGUUGACGAAGCUAAGACCCUUGCAGGAAACCGCCUGCUUGAACUCCAUGAGACUCAAGAGGAUAAUCUAAUACUGUCUAACCAGUUAGAAAAUCUGCAGGCUCAAUUAAAAGAUGAUAACUAUAUUUUCACAUCAAAACCAUAUACGAUUCUUAGCGAUCAGUUACAUCAUCUGAAUGCUGAGAUAGAACGAUACAAGGGUUUGGUUGAAGUAUUACAGAAUGAUAAGAACCAGUUCUUGCAAAGGGAGAAAGAAAUGUAUGCAAAAGGAGAAUCCGUCGACAAUAUUAAACAAUCCAUUACCGCUUAUGAGGCCAAAAUCGAAGAACUGGAACAUCAGAUUCUGAAAUCCAUGGCUGAGAAGAAUGAUCUUGAGAUCAAAGUUGAGGAAUCAUUGCAAGAUUCAGGUAAAAAAGACUUCAAGGAUGAGAUUCAUGUCAUGGCUGCAGCACUCUCUAAAGAGAUGGAAAUGAUGGAGAAUCAAUUGAAUAGAUCAAAGGAUGCGGCUUCUGAAGCACUUGCAUUACGUGAAGAAGCUGAAUAG